GAGCCAGACUCUGUGCCGGGCGGGGGCCGGGAAGUGGUGGGAGAAGUCGCCGCCCGCGUCUGUCCAAACUUAGUCCCAAACUCAGGAGGUUCCUGUCCCAAGAAGCAAUGUAAAGUUUGAAACGAGCCGAGCGCGGUGGCUCACGCCUGUAAUCCCAGCACUUUGGGAGGCCGAGGCUGGCGAAUCAUUUGAGACACAGGGUCUCACUGUGUUGGCCAGGCUGGAGUGCGGCAGUCUGGAACUCCUGGGCCCAAGUGAUCCUCCAAUCAGCCUCACAAAGCACUGGAAUUACAGAUGGAGUUUUGCUCUUGUUGCCCAGGCUGGAGUACAAUGGCGCAAUCUCGGCUCACUGCAACCUCCGCCUCCGGGUUCAAGUGAUUCUCCUGCCUCAGCCUCCUGAGUAGCUGGGAUUACAGGAGCCUACUACCACGGCCAGCUAAUUUUUUUGUAUUUUUAGUAGAGACGGGGCUUUACCAUGUUGGCCAGGCUGGUUUCAAACUCCUGACCUCAGGUGAUCCACCCGCCUCGGCCUCCCAAACUGCUGGGAUUAUAGGCAUGAGCCACCGUGCCCGGCCCAUAGAUUACUUUUAUAAUCAAGUUUUUCUUUACUUUUUAAAGAGUAAAUUCUCUCACCUCAGGUAGCUCAGAGAGCUGCGCUGGAGGAGAAAAGCCAGUCCUGGCAGGAGCUCUGGUACCUGGGAAGCUGGAUGGAGAGCCUGGGCCAGAAUCCCGGACCCCUCACCUCUGCGGCCUAGCUUUGUGACCUUGGCAAAUCCAUUCUAUGCACCUCCAUUUCCUGUACAGUGGGGAUCCUUAUUUCUCUGGCACAGAUUGGUAUUUGUUCUGUAAAGCCCAGUACCACUU
rnacentral:lncRNA from 1 species